AGAAAACCAGAGAUACAAGAAUGAAGAAGAGGAAGAAGAUGAUGAAAAGAAGAGAAGCUUGCUUCCAUCAUCACUUUUGGGUUAUCUAUUGUAUGAACGAGCAAGAAGACUUUGAACUAGCUCCAAAUGACCCCGAGGUUGAACGUACAUUUAGAAGAAGACUAAGGGAACAACGGCUGAA